rnacentral:rRNA from 1 species
CACCGCGGUUAAACGAGAGGCUCAAGUUGAUAAACAACGGCAUAAAGCGUGGUUAAGAGACAUGGUGCAACUAAAGUUAAACAUUUUCACAGCAGUUAUACGCACACGAAAGUAUGAGAACCACCCACGAAAGUGACUUUACUACCCUGAACCCACGUAAGCUAAGGUA